rnacentral:rRNA from 1 species
AGUCACUGACAUUAGAUACCCCUGUAGUCCAGGGUGUAAACGCUGCAGACUUGGUGUUGGAAGUCCUUUGGGGGCAUUCAGUGCCGGAGAGAAGUUGUUAAGUCUGCUACUUGGGGAGUACGUCCGCGAGGAUGAAACUUAAAGGAAUUGGCGGGGAGCACCGCAACGGGAGGAGCGUGCGGUUUAAUUGGAUUCAACACCGUAAAACUCACCAGGGAAGACUGUUACAUGAAAGCCGAGAUGAAGACUCUGCUAGAUUUUUCAG